rnacentral:rRNA from 1 species
CCUACGGGAGGCAGCAGUGAGGCAUAUUGGUCAAUGGACGAGAGUCUGAACCAGCCAAGUAGCGUGAAGGAUGACUGCCCUAUGGGUUGUAAACUUCUUUUAUAUGGGAAUAAAAUGUUCCACGUGUGGGCUUUUGUAUGUACCAUAUGAAUAAGGAUCGGCUAACUCCGUGCCAGCAGCCGCGGUAAUACGGAGGAUCCGAGCGUUAUCCGGAUUUAUUGGGUUUAACGGGAGCGUAGGUGGAUUGUUAAGUCAGUUGUGAAAGUUUGCGGCUCAACCGUAAAAUUGCAGUUGAAACUGGCAGUCUUGAGUACAGUAGAGGUGGGCGGAAGUCGUGGUGUAGCGGUGAAAUGCUUAGAUAUCACGAAGAACUCCGAUUGCGAAGGCAGCUCACUGGACUGCAACUGACACUGAGGCUCGAAAGUGUGGGUAUCAAACAGGAUUAGAUACCCUUGUAGUC